ensembl:lncRNA
GAGUAGAGUUCCCUGUGCUAGACGGAAGACACCUAACCCAUUUAAGACAAAGUAUCAACCUGCUAGUUUUAGAGUUCUUCAGGAGAAUUGCUGCUGCAGCUCUUUCUGUUCAAAGAAAUAUCUUCAUAUCAGCUGGAAGUUUAACAUGAACUUUCUGCUCCAGCACUUUGUGACCCAGAACUGCCUCAACAAGCUAACAUCAACCCAGCCAGAAUAGUGAUCCUCUGUGGUGCAGAGAUAAAAAUGACUAGGACGUGAUCACCACAAACUGAAGAACCAGGACAUGAACCAGGAGGAUCUGACUCCAGAGCUCUUGUUCUUAACCACGUCAUUUAUACUGCUUCUGCAAGAAUGGCCUUUAUAUAAUUAAAAUUAUAUAAUUUAUUUUUAAAAUUUAUUAGAAGAGUAAAUCCUAAGAACACAAAAACUAACUCUUGGUCAAAACGAAUGCUUUUUUAUUGGUGUGCUGAAGAGACUGCUAGAGAGACAUGUACCUUUACUGUUAAUUUACAAGUAGGACACAGGAGCAGAAAAUGUGGUGAUAAAAGACUAUUUCUGUCUUUUUAGACAUUCAGCACAUUCUCCCAUCACCUAAUUGUUUAGAUAUGUAUUCUGCAGUGUCCUUUAGCUUCCCUACCAUAGUCAAGGCUUCCCUGGUGGCUCAGAGGUUAAAGCAUCUGCCUCCAAUGCAGGACCUGGGUUCAAUCCCUGGGUUGGGAAGAUCCCCUGGAGAAGGAAAUGGCACCCCACUCCAGUACUCUUGCCUGGAGAAUCCCAUGGACGGAAGAGCCUGGUAGGCUACAGUCCACAGGGUCGCAAAGAGUUGGACACGACUGAGCCACUUCACUUCACUUCACUUCACUUCACCAUAGUCACUGUAUAGCUAUUUGCAUGUAAGUGGUGAGGUUUAUUUUGAAUAAAGAGUGAAUGUAACUUUCAUUUUUGCCUGUAAUAUAUAAACAUGAAUCGAUAAAAAUUCUUCCUGAAUCUUCUCCAAGAAAUGGCAUGCAUUUCCAAUUAAUCUCAUAACUUUAACUG